AACGAACGCUGGCGGCAUGCCUAACACAUGCAAGUCGAACGAGACCUUCGGGUCUAGUGGCGCACGGGUGCGUAACGCGUGGGAAUCUGCCCUUAGGUACGGAAUAACUCAGGGAAACUUGAGCUAAUACCGUAUAAUGACUUCGGUCCAAAGAUUUAUCGCCUAAGGAUGAGCCCGCGUCGGAUUAGCUAGUUGGUGAGGUAAAAGUUCACCAAGGCGACGAUCCGUAGCUGGUCNGAGAGGAUGAUCAGCCACACUGGGACUGAGACACGGCCCAGACUCCUACGGGAGGCAGCAGUGGGGAAUAUUGGACAAUGGGCGAAAGCCUGAUCCAGCAAUGCCGCGUGAGUGAUGAAGGCCUUAGGGUUGUAAAGCUCUUUUACCCGGGAUGAUAAUGACGGUACCCGCAGAAUAAGCUCCGGCUAACUUCGUGCCAGCAGCCGC
rnacentral:rRNA from 1 species